UACGAAGGGAGCAAGCGUUGUUCGGAAUUACUGGGCGUAAAGGGCGCGUAGGCGGAUGAUCUAGUCAGAGGUGAAAGCCCUGGGCUCAACCCGGGAAUUGCCUUUGAAACUGGUCGUCUUGAGUGCGAGAGAGGGUGGCGGAAUACCCAGUGUAGAGGUGAAAUUCGUAGAUAUUGGGUAGAACACCAGUGGCGAAGGCGGCCACCUGGCUCGCAACUGACGCUGAGGCGCGAAAGCGUGGGGAGCAAACAGG
rnacentral:rRNA from 2 species